UAAGUAACUUAACUGAUGAGGCUGAAGUAACAUGCUGGUGUUAAUGUUGCUCAAGGUUCUGUCACUUCUCCAUUGGCCUUCAAGUACACCAGCUGUCACCUACAACAUGUUUAAGUUGUAAUUUACGAAGAAUGAAAAUUAAACUUGCAAGUUCCAUCUACCCCUACACCACGUGUACUUAAACUGUCCCCAACUGUUUACAUAAAUCAUUACCUCCACAUUAGUUUACUCAAAUUACGUCUCGCCAACACCAAUACAGUACCGCUACACUAUACUGUACAUCACAUUUCGACAAGGCUUCAACACUAUAGUUUUGGCGCUUUUUGGUUGUUGAUCAAUGUGUUUUUCCGAUGGUAAAAUCCAUGGUUGUCCACUUUUAAAAAUUUACCCUUAAUGUUACUGAAUUUAAUAUAUACUGUAUUCUGAAACACCUCAACCUUCUGAAACGUCUCGCCCUCCGCCGGCUCCCUGCCUCACCUCACCUCACCUGGCUCCCCACCUCAUCUUGCCUCGCCCGGCUCCCUACCUCACCUCGCCUCACCUGGCUCCCCACCUCAUCUUGCCUCGCCCGGCUCCCUACCUCACCUCGCCUCACAAUUGGCGUGGGCGAACUUACUAUUACUGAGACGGGGGAAGCUGCUGUGAAGUCCUCUAUAUUAGCCAAAAUAUUGUAUCAUAUAUGCUCUGAUCAUGUCUGAGGUAUAAAAAUUCCUGACUCAUGUUUACAGUCCGAGGAUUAUUUCUGGGGUUAUAGGGUCAGGUCUGAUUUUUUGGUUCAUAUCUCUAGCUCUUGAGUUAUGUCUGAAUCUCUAGAAGUCAUGUUGGAAUCUCAAGAGGUCAUGUUUGAAUCUCGAGGGGUCAGGUCUGAUUUGCUGUCAUCUCAAGCGUUAACAUACACUAAGAUCCACAAGUGACAAUUUUUAAAGUGUAAACCUGGAUUUUAAGAUCAGGCUUUUAAAACAUCAUCCAAAUGAGUUCAGAACCUUGUGUUAGCCAGGCAGGAGAGAGUAAGCACUGGACAUGUUGAGUUUCUUUUAAGAUUUACCAAGCGUGAGAUGCAACUAGGCUAUCAAGGUUAAAUUUUCCCUUCUAGUUUGUCAAGAUUAUAUUGUAGUGAUAUUUCCCAAGCUUGAGGGGGUAAGUGUAAUGACUCAGGAGGAGGAGCUGGUUGACAUGUGUUCACCACCACCACAACCAGUCCACCUGCCUUCACCACAGCACCCAGAUGGGCUGGCGUGUUUUCAUCUGCCAUUCGAAUUCCAUUUUCUAUAACAUAUGCCAUUAAAUACUAUUUGUACCACAUUACCAUUUUGACAAUAAAAUGAUGAAAGAA